rnacentral:rRNA from 1 species
GACAGAGGGGGCAAGCGUCGCUCGGAAUUACUGGGCGUAAAGGGCGCGUAGGCGGGAUGGCAAGUCGGUCGUGAAAUCCUUCGGCUCAACCGAAGAACGUCGAUCGAUACUGCUGUUCUUGAGGAUUGCAGAGGAGACUGGAAUUCCCGGUGUAGCGGUGAAAUGUGUAGAGAUCGGGAGGAACACCGGUGGCGAAGGCGGGUCUCUGGGCAAUUCCUGACGCUGAGGCGCGAAAGCGUGGGGAGCAAACGGG